GUUGAAGGUUCUUUUGUAUCAGAAGGAUUACAUCAUAAACAUGUUCACAUAUUUUGUAUACCAUCUAUACCCUUUAUUUCAUUUACCCUCCUCUCCCACUCAUCAUUUAUGUAACCCCACCCCCCAUACAAAUUGCAAACUGUCCUUGUAAUGUCCCCCUUAUCUGAUACCUAUCAGGUCAGGUGUGGGGUGGGGCACAGGCAAACCUUUAAACAAAAAUGUCCUGGUUAGUCACCAUCUCAUUUGUUGUGAC